rnacentral:rRNA from 1 species
UGAGCAAUCUGCCCUUCUCAUCGGAAUAAGCGUUGGAAACGACGUCUAAUGCCGAAUACGACCUCCUUUCGCAUGAUCGGAGGUGGAAAGCUCCGGCGGAGAAGGAUGAGCUCGCGGCCUAUCAGCUUGUUGGUGAGGUAAUGGCUCACCAAGGCGACGACGGGUAGCCGGCCUGAGAGGGUGACCGGCCACACUGGGACUGAGACACGGCCCAGACUCCUAGGAG